AUUGAACGCUGGCGGCAGGCCUAACACAUGCAAGUCGAACGGUAACAGGAAGAAGCUUGCUUCUUUGCUGACGAGUGGCGGACGGGUGAGUAAUGUCUGGGAAACUGCCUGAUGGAGGGGGAUAACUACUGGAAACGGUAGCUAAUACCGCAUAACGUCGCAAGACCAAAGAGGGGGACCUUCGGGCCUCUUGCCAUCGGAUGUGCCCAGAUGGGAUUAGCUAGUAGGUGGGAUAACGGCUCACCUAGGCGACGAUCCCUAGCUGGUCUGAGAGGAUGACCAGCCACACUGGAACUGAGACACGGUCCAGACUCCUACGGGAGGCAGCAGUGGGGAAUAUUGCACAAUGGGCGCAAGCCUGAUGCAGCCAUGCCGCGUGUAUGAAGAAGGCCUUCGGGUUGUAAAGUACUUUCAGCGGGGAGGAAGGGAGUAAAGUUAAUACCUUUGCUCAUUGACGUUACCCGCAGAAGAAGCACCGGCUAACUCCGUGCCAGCAGCCGCGGUAAUACGGAGGGUGCAAGCGUUAAUCGGAAUUACUGGGCGUAAAGCGCACGCAGGCGGUUUGUUAAGUCAGAUGUGAAAUCCCCGGGCUCAACCUGGGAACUGCAUCUGAUACUGGCAAGCUUGAGUCUCGUAGAGGGGGGUAGAAUUCCAGGUGUAGCGGUGAAAUGCGUAGAGAUCUGGAGGAAUACCGGUGGCGAAGGCGGCCCCCUGGACGAAGACUGACGCUCAGGUGCGAAAGCGUGGGGAGCAAACAGGAUUAGAUACCCUGAUAGUCCACGCCGUAAACGAUGUCGACUUGGAGGUUGUGCCCUUGAGGCGUGGCUUCCGGAGCUAACGCGUUAAGUCGACCGCCUGGGGAGUACGGCCGCAAGGUUAGAACUCAAAUGAAUUGACGGGGGCCCGCACAAGCGGUGGAGCAUGUGGUUUAAUUCGAUGCAACGCGAAGAACCUUACCUGGUCUUGACAUCCACGGAAGUUUUCAGAGAUGAGAAUGUGCCUUCGGGAACCGUGAGACAGGUGCUGCAUGGCUGUCGUCAGCUCGUGUUGUGAAAUGUUGGGUUAAGUCCCGCAACGAGCGCAACCCUUAUCCUUUGUUGCCAGCGGUCCGGCCGGGAACUCAAAGGAGACUGCCAGUGAUAAACUGGAGGAAGGUGGGGAUGACGUCAAGUCAUCAUGGCCCUUACGACCAGGGCUACACACGUGCUACAAUGGCGCAUACAAAGAGAAGCGACCUCGCGAGAGCAAGCGGACCACAUAAAGUGCGUCGUAGUCCGGAUUGGAGUCUGCAACUCGACUCCAUGAAGUCGGAAUCGCUAGUAAUCGUGGAUCAGAAUGCCACGGUGAAUACGUUCCCGGGCCU
rnacentral:rRNA from 1 species